AAUCACGCACAUAACGAACUAUUCUUUCGCCUUUUACUAAAGAAUACCGUGCGCGUCCCAAAUAGUGGCAUAUGUCAAUUUUUGGAGGGUUUUUCUCUUUUUGAGAAAU
rnacentral:snRNA from 2 species